rnacentral:rRNA from 1 species
ACGCUCGACACCUACGGGGCAGCAGUGGGGAAUAUUGCACAAUGGGGGAAACCCUGAUGCAGCGACGCCGCGUGAAGGAAGAAGUAUUUCGGUAUGUAAACUUCUAUCAGCAGGGAAGAAGAUGACGGUACCUGACUAAGAAGCCCCGGCUAACUACGUACCAGCAGCCGCGGUAAUCUGAGCGGGCUGGGCAAGGGC